CUCAUAGGCUGGUUGCCUUUGGUCACCGGCUAUUCUUUUCAACAUUUUACAUUGAAUACUUUUUUUAUCUUGUUUUUGUGCUGUAAUACAUUUUUAAACAUUUCCCUACAUUCAAACUUGAGUCCUGAUCUAUAUAGGGAGGACACCAGGAGUGUGGGAGAAGCAGGGCAAUAUUACCAGACCAAAUAGACCAAGUUAUUUUACAUCUAUUUAUCUAAUUUAUACUUUGAAGUGCACGUCCUAUCUUUGAUAGAUCUUUUUUCUAAAUGCCCC